AAAAGUACAUUUUUACACUCUUGACCUCGGAUCAGGUAGGGAUACC
rnacentral:rRNA from 1 species